UAAUACGGAGGGUGCAAGCGUUAUCCGGAAUUACUGGGUUUAAAGGGUGCGUAGGCGGCGCAGUAAGUCAGGAGUGAAAGUUUGCGGCUCAACCGUAAAAUUGCUUUUGAUACUGCUGUGCUAGAAUUAGGAUGAGGUCAGCGGAAUGUGGCAUGUAACGGUGAAAUGUUUAGAUAUGCCAUAGAACACCAAUUGCGAAGGCAGCUGGCUAGACCUUGAUUGACGCUGAGGCACGAAAGCGUGGGGAUCGAACAGGAUUAGAUACCCUGGUAGUCCACGCCCUAAACGAUGCUCACUCGACGUAUGACAACUAAUGUUGUGCGUCCAAGGGAAACCGUUAAGUGAGCCACCUGGGGAGUACGACCGCAAGGUUG
rnacentral:rRNA from 1 species